rnacentral:tRNA from 1 species
CUAUGCUGUAGACUAAUAGGCAAGUCAUAGGUUUUUGAUGCUUAUUAUUGGGUGUUCGAAUCACUUCAGCAUAA